rnacentral:siRNA from 1 species
AAUCCGGGAGAACAUCAAAAGCCU